UACGUAGGGACCAAGCGUUGUUCGGAUUUACUGGGCGUAAAGGGCGCGUAGGCGGCAAUUCAAGUCAGCUGUGAAAUCUCCGAGCUUAACUCGGAACGGUCAGCUGAUACUGUUUUGCUAGAGUACAGAAGGGGCAAUCGGAAUUCUUGGUGUAGCGGUGAAAUGCGUAGAUAUCAAGAGGAACACCUGAGGUGAAGACGGGUUGCUGGGCUGAUACUGACGCUGAGGCGCGAAAGCGUGGGGAGCAAACAGG
rnacentral:rRNA from 1 species